AAGAUUCCGGACCGUGGCUUGCGCGCUUCACGGCGCUCUUGCCGUGGGAAGUUAUCUAAACCUCAAUAUUUAGAGGAAGGUGAAGUCGUAACAAGGUUUCCGUAGGUGAACCUGCGGAAGGAUCA
rnacentral:rRNA from 1 species